GGCGGCGUGCUUACACAUGCAAGUCGAACGAGCAAAGAUUUCUUCGGAAAUUGAGUAGAGUGGCGCACGGGUGAGUAACGCGUAGGUAAUCUACCCUAAUAUUUGGGAUAACAUUGGGAAACUGGUGCUAAUACCGGAUACCCUUCUUUUCUGUCGGGUUAAGGAGGAAAGGUGGCCUCUUCAUGAAAGCUACCGUAUAAGGAUGAGCCUGCGUACCAUUAGCUAGUAGGUGGGGUAAAGGCCCACCUAGGCUACGAUGGUUAGCGGGUCUGAGAGGAUGAUCCGCCACACUGGAACUGGAACACGGACCAGACUCCUACGGGAGGCAGCAGUGAGGAAUAUUGCGCAAUGGGGGAAACCCUGACGCAGCGACGCCGCGUGAGUGAGGAAGGUUUUCGGAUCGUAAAGCUCUGUCAGAAGGGAAGAAGUGUUAUAUAGUUAAUACCUGUAUAAUUUGACGGUACCUUCAGAGGGAAGCACCGGCUAACUCCGUGCCAGCAGCCGCGGUAAUACGGAGGGUGCGAGCGUUGUUCGGAA
rnacentral:rRNA from 1 species